GAUGAACGCUGACAGAAUGCUUAACACAUGCAAGUCAACUUGAACUUCGGUUUGGGUGGCGGACGGGUGAGUAACGCGUAAAGAAUUUGCCUCACAGAUAGGGACAACAUUUGGAAACGAAUGCUAAUACCUGAUAUUAUGAUUUUAGGGCAUCCUAGGAUUAUGAAAGCUAUAUGCGCUGUGAGAGAGCUUUGCGUCCCAUUAGCUAGUUGGAGAGGUAACGGCUCACCAAGGCGAUGAUGGGUAGCCGGCCUGAGAGGGUGAUCGGCCACAAGGGGACUGAGACACGGCCCUUACUCCUACGGGAGGCAGCAGUGGGGAAUAUUGGACAAUGGACCAAGAGUCUGAUCCAGCAAUUCUGUGUGCACGAUGAAGUUUUUCGGAAUGUAAAGUGCUUUCAGUUGGGAAGAAAAAAAUGACGGACCAACAGAAGAAG
rnacentral:rRNA from 1 species